AGAGUUUGAUCCUGGCUCAGAGUUAACGCUGGCAUCGUGCAUAACACAUGCAAGUCGAACGGGACUUUGAUUUGUAGCAAUACAGAUUAAAGUUUAGUGGCAGACGGGUGAGUAAUGUAUAAGGAAUCCACCUUUAAGUGGGGAAUAACAAUCCGAAAGGGUUGCUAAUACCCCAUAAUAUCCUUAAGUGGCAUCACGUAGGGAUUAAAGAUUUAUCGCUUGAAGACGACCUUAUAUUCUAUCAGCUAGUUGGCAGUGUAACGGACUACCAAGGCGACGACGGAUAGCCGGCCUGAAAGGGCGACCGGCCACAAGGGCACUGAGACACGGGCCCUACUCCUACGGGAGGCAGCAGUGGGGAAUUUUGGACAAUGGGCGCAAGCCUGAUCCAGCAACGAUGCGUGGAGGAUGAAGGUUUUCGGAUUGUAAACUCCUUUUAAGGGGGACGAAACAAAUGACGGUACCCCUUGAAUAAGCCACGGCUAACUACGUGCCAGCAGCCGCGGUAAGACGUAGGUGGCAAGCGUUACUCGGAAUUACUAGGCGUAAAGCGCGCGUAGGCGGGAUGUUAAGUCUGUUGUGUAAUCUCUGGGCUCAACCCAGAAACUGCAACGGAAACUGGCGUUCUUGAGUGAGGCAGAGGAAAUCGGAAUUCCUAGUGUAGCAGUGAAAUGCGUAGAUAUUAGGAGGAACACCGGUGGCGAAGGCGGAUUUCUGGGCCUUUACUGACGCUAAAGUGCGAAAGCUAGGGGAGCAAACGGGAUUAGAUACCCCGGUAGUCCUAGCCGUAAACGAUGAUAACUAGGUGUGGGAGGUAUCGACCCCUUCCGUGCCGCCGCUAACGCAUUAAGUUAUCCGCCUGGGGAGUACGGCCGCAAGGUUAAAACUCAAAGGAAUUGACGGGGACCCGCACAAGAGGUGGAGUAUGUGGUUUAAUUCGACGCUACGCGAAAAACCUUACCUGGGCUCGAACGACUGGUGGUAGUUCUUAUGAAAGUAGGAGCGACCCGCAAGGGAGCCAGCCGAGGUGCUGCAUGGUUGUCGUCAGCUCGUGUCGUGAGAUGUUGGGUUAAGUCCCGCAACG
rnacentral:rRNA from 1 species